rnacentral:rRNA from 1 species
GUGUCAGCAGCCGCGGUAAAACGUAGGGGGCGAGCGUUAUCCGGAUUUACUGGGCGUAAAGCGCAUGUAGGCGGUGGGAUAAGUCAGACGUGAAAGCUCCCGGCUUAACUGGGAGAGGUCGUUUGAAACUAUCCGACUGGAGGUUGGAAGAGGAGAGUGGAAUUCCCGGUGUAGUGGUGGAAUGCGUAGAUAUCGGGAGGAACACCAGUGGCGAAAGCGGCUCUCUGGACCAAUUCUGACGCUGAGAUGCGAAAGCGUGGGGAGCAAACGGGAUUAGAUACCCUGGUAGUCC